rnacentral:piRNA from 1 species
UAAGUAUGUUGAAUUGCAUGGUGGUAAA